rnacentral:rRNA from 1 species
UACAGGUGGAUGAGGAGAGAAUCCUAAGGCCGGCGGAAGAAGUAUUGCCAAGGAACUCGGCAAAAUGGCCCCGUAACUUAGGGAGAAGGGGUGCCUGCGAGAGCAGGCCGCAGAGAAUAGGCUCAAGCAACUGUUUAGCAAAAACACAGGUCUAUGCGAAGCCGAAAGGUGAGGUAUAUGGGCUGACGCCUGCCCGGUGCUGGAAGGUUAAGAGGAGAGGUUAGACGCAAGUCGAAGCUUUGAAUUUAAGCCCCAGUAAACGGCGGCCGUAACUAUAACGGUCCUAAGGUAGCGAAAUUCCUUGUCGGGUAAGUUCCGACCCGCACGAAAGGCGUAAUGAUUUGAGCGCUGUCUCGGCAAUACAUCCGGUGAAAUUGAAGUGCCAGUGAAGAUGCUGGCUACCCGCGACAGGACGGAAAGACCCCAUGGAGCUUUACUCCAGUUUGGCACUGGGGUCCGGUGUUGCAUGUACAGGAUAGGUGGGAGGCUGAGAGAUAGUGACGUCAGUUGCUAUGGAGCCGCUGUUGGGAUACCACCCUUGUGAUAUUGGGCUUCUAACCAGCCGCCGUGAACCGGCGGUGGGACAAUGCCAGGCGGGGAGUUUGACUGGGGCGGUCGCCUCCGAAAGGGUAUCGGAGGCGCCCAAAGGUUCCCUCAGAAUGGACGGAAACCAUUCGAAGAGUGCAAAGGCAGAAGGGAGCUUGACUGCGACACCGACGGGUGGAGCAGGUACGAAAGUAGGGCUUAGUGAUCCGGUGGUAUUAAGUGGGAAUGCCAUCGCUCAACGGAUAAAAGCUACCCUGGGAUAACAGGCUUAUCACUCCCAAGAGUUCACAUCGACGGAGUGGUUUGGCACCUCGAUGUCGGCUCAUCGCAUCCUGGGGCUGUAGUAGGUCCCAAGGGUUGGGCUGUUCGCCCAUUAAAGCGGUACGCGAGCUGGGUUCAGAACGUCGUGAGACAGUUCGGUCCCUAUCCGGCGUGGGCGUAGGAUAUCUGAGAGGAGCUGUCCUUAGUACGAGAGGACCGGGAUGGACGGACCGCUGGUGGACCGGUUGGCUUGCCAAAGCCAUGGCCGGGUAGCCAAGUCCGGAAGGGAUAAACGCUGAAGGCAUCUAAGCGUGAAGCCCCCCUCAAGAUGAGAUAUCCCAUUCUUUAAGAAGUAAACCCCCUUGAAGACGACGAGGUAGAUAGGGCAGAGGUGGAAGUGUGGUAACACAUGGAGCUGACUGUUACUAAUCGGGUGAGGGCUUGACC